GUCCCUGUAGCACUGGAUAGCGCGUUGAAUUUCUAAUCCAAAGGCAGUGGGUUCGAAUCCCAUCUGGGAUG